UCCGCUGGCCUAUGGACCCCUGCCCUCCGGGGGCGGGAUCCGGCAGGACGUGGUCCCAGGCGCGAGGAGCAGGUCCCCCCGGCCUCCGCCCUCGGCCUCGACUCCCGCCUCUGGGCAGGGGAUGCGGUGGGUAGGCGCUGGGCCCAGGCCGAGGCGGGGGCCGAGGGGCCUCUCCCGCCCGGGUCCGCAGCUGUCCCCACACCUCUGCAUGGUCGCCCGGGCCUCACCGAAGCCCCCCCAGCCCAGGUCCCUCCGUCUCGCUCCCAGACCGCGACUUCCCGCGGCGGGAUCGGCCCCCGGCCCCCGCUCCGGCCCCUGCGCCCCCCGCGAGCCUCCCGGCAGGGGCGGCGGUGCCCUCCCUGGGUGGGGGACCGGCGCGUCUGAGGGUGUCGCCUGCCGGGGACGGGGCGGGGGCUCGGGCCACUCACCGCGUGCGCCGGCGGGUCAGCAGCAGCAGCAGCAGCAGCGCGGCCAGGAGGCCGAGGAGUGCGGCCCAGGACAUGGCAGCGGCGAGCGCGGUCCCUCCAGGGCUGUGAGGAGAGAGUUAAACGAUGCGAGAAUGAAUCACCCGGCACAGGCCAGGCGCACAGUAGGAUGACCUUCCGCGUUGGCUGCAGGGAGGACUGAGGUAAUCAUCCAAAGCACCUUGGACGGUACUUGCCCCUGGGAAGAAUUCAAAGCUGGAAGCAUUUGAAUCUGGCUGUGGCAUCUUGCAAGAACAGGUGGGCCCUGAAAAGCGCAGAAGUUCCAAACUCCCCUGGCCCCUGUGGCCUGGAAGGACCCUGCUGAAUCCAGGGCUGGUAAGGCCUCAGGGGUAGAGGAGUGACCCCGCUCGCCCACCAUGGAGGAGCUGGAAUACAAGGACCUGCGAGCCAAGUUCAAAUCCCAUUGUCAUCGCUCACUUCACACAUGAUCCUGGGCAAGUCACCUCACCUCUCUGAGCCUCGACUCUGUAUCUAUGCCACGGGCACAUUGCUGGUGAUCUCAGGGAGGCCAACUUGGCAUCUAAGGCUGCACCUGGGAAGCGAAGCCCACAGGCUAGCGACUCUCAGCAGACUCCUCUGCCUGUGGCACGCAGCGGGACAUUCUGCUGGCGGAGUUGCGGCAUGUCCAGACGUCUGCUCUCCCGCAGAAACGAGGGGAACAGCUUUUCCCUGCUGAGCCAAGAGCCGGCCAUCUAUGGACUGAGGCUUCUGAAACCAUGAAUGCCAAAUAAAUAAAUUUUUUCUCCUC